ACGCUGAUUUUAUUGCGACGCGCGCGGUGCGCAAAAGACCCCUCUACGGCUCCACCAUCUCUCCUUUUCUUGACUUCGGCGCGAAGCUUUUCUUUCCACCCCGCGAUUUCUCCCACUCCGUCGUCUCGAAUUCUCCGACGUUUUUUGUGUAGUAGAAUCGAAACCCCAGAUCUCUAUCUCCUGGUCCUCCGACGACGACUACGAUCUCCAAGCGUUUUUAUGGUCUAGGAACGGGAAAACAUAAUUGGAUCAGAAAUGACUGCUAUUAGUCAAGCGGAAUUCGAUUAUUUGUUCAAGUUGUUGCUGAUCGGCGAUUCUGGGGUGGGGAAGAGCAGUCUUUUAUUGAGUUUUACUACCGAUUCCUUCGAAGAUCUGUCCCCCACGAUUGGUGUUGAUUUUAAGGUAAAGAUGGUUAACAUUGGAGGGAAAAGAUUGAAGCUUGCAAUCUGGGAUACAGCUGGACAAGAGAGAUUCAGAACUUUAACGAGUUCGUAUUAUAGGGGAGCACAGGGGAUUAUAUUGGUUUAUGAUGUUACAAGGAGGGACACAUUCACCAAUCUGAAAGAUGUAUGGGCUAAGGAAAUAGAACUCUAUUCAACCAAUCAAGACUGCAUUAAGAUGCUUGUAGGAAACAAAGUUGAUAAGGAAGGACGAAGGGUUGUGACAAAGAAAGAGGGUAUUGACUUUGCUAGAGAGUAUGGAUGCUUAUUCUUAGAAUGCAGUGCAAAAACUCGAGUUAAUGUAGAAAAAUGCUUUGAGGAGCUUGUCUUGAAGAUCCAUUAAGGUGCUUUUUCUUUAGCAAGGAAGAAGAAUGCGAGAAGAGGAACAAAACAGUGAGAUCUUGGAAACACCAAGCCUCUUGGCUGCAGGUUCAACUGGUGUGAAGAAAAACAUUUUCACGCAGAAACCACCACAAGCUGAUGAAUAUACUAGUACCUGUUGCUGACUGUAGUUUUUGGUGGAAUAUGCCAUAAAUUUCUAAAGGUUAUAAUUUCAUGAUGGUUGGGUGCUAAUAAUGGUGGUGCUCAGUAGUGGCCAUGGUUGUGAUCUAUUCAUUCUCAAUUCAGUUAUUCAUGAAUAUUAAUGCAGCUAAUUUAACAUGCUGGCCCCAAUAGACCAUCUUUCUUCUUUGCCCAACUAUAGCUACUUUGUGGGCUAAACGCUAGCGAUGCUCCUUUUUUUUAUUUUUAUUUUUAACACAAGCAAUUGAUGUUUCUAGUAGCAAUACUAAUAUAUCCUAUCAAUAUCAAGUUAUUGGCCAUGUAUUGGAGAAU